rnacentral:lncRNA from 1 species
UGCUACUACGGUUUUGGUUACAUGCAACCGCCCAUUCAGUCAAGCAAAAACAUUUUGGAUUCAGGCCAGUAAAGUCCAGCCAGCAUUAAAUUUAUCCCUUGUUAGCAACCCUGCUGAGAUGUUUCUUACUAAAAGAGUGCGUGUUAUGUCAUCCGCGAGUGCAUUGACCUCCUGUACGGCUUUGCUUCACUUACUGGGGUGGUGUAAUAAGCCAAAAAAAAUAUUUUAGGGGGCUUGGCCGCCGCAGCACCAGCGGGACCGUAGCGGCCCAGCUACUAUGCAGCGCUUCAGCAGGCAUCAAUGUAUUUGCUAGUCGAUGUCAUUGAGAAGAAAUGCAUGCAGUAUGAUUCGAAGUAGGUCACAUUAUUUGCUACAGCGGCAGUUCCAAACGCACACAUUUCCGUGCUGCUUCCAAGAAACAAGCCCUGGCGUGAUUCAGCGACCCCGUCGCUUGCAAGCUCGUGGGUUGACGCUUCAGGAUGAACUUGGCAGCACUUCACUAGAUGUCUUAGUCAUCGCAUCUCAACCAACUUCUUGCUAACAUGUAACCGUGAAGAUAACCGUCUUAUCGCUGUUUCUUUGCGAGACGUGUGCGGCGCUGCGAGCACGUGAUGGUUGUCUGCUUGACCGCGUCAACCCACCCAAAAAAGUCGUGUGCUUGACCAGCUGUCACACCCCGAUGCUCAUCAUGAAUCUUCCCUAAGUGGGUUUAUGUCACUAUUUAGAAUUCGGCAGUUCUUUCCCAGGUGUACACAUCAUUGGGUUGUGCGUGUGCCAGUCCAGUUUCCUGUCUGCUUCGACGGUCAUAUCUUGUGGGAUUUUCAGCGCUAUUCGUGGUAAAAAGGUGCACGAACACAGUGUCGACGUUAUUUUGAGACGCUGUUAUCGCAAACGUCUGGUCGUACCGGUGUGGUGUCGCCUUGGUAUGGGCGAAUUGUUGAUAUUUCUGCCCCUCCCGAUGGAGUUGAGUGUUCCCAAAACGGCCGAAGUGGCAAUAAAAGAAACAAAACAAACAGUGUGGAUGUUUUCUGCUCAGGGCAGCAAGUUUGUUCCAUUUGACACAUGCUCGCGGGCAGCUUUCUCUGAUCUCAUGGAAGAAGAUAGUUCGUGCAGAUAAUCGUACACGCUUGGAACCACUUUCUUAAUCGCCAUUCCGCACGCUGCCCCGCAGUCGUCAAAGGAAAUCUGAAGCCCGUCGAAGAAUCACCACGGGUAAGCCAAUGCAGGUGAAGGACCUGACUGAGGAAGUGAAUCUCACUUGGAACGCGAACGGUCCGAAAGCCAAAAACGGAAGUUUUCUUAAUGUACGACCAGAGAAUUCUGUGCACUGCUUAGCUAUCUGGAGAAGCUCUGUUGAGGCCCUGAGUGAAGCUGCCAGCUGCAAGGUGAGGACACCUCGAACAGGUUAGCUCUCUGAGCAUACCGCAAUUCUUUGGAGGAAAAAUUACUCGUUGACUAGACAGGAUGUUUCAUCAGAAGCGUUGCGCCGGCAUCUGGGUGUACUACCUUACCUUCUCAUUCAACACUCCAUAGACAGAAACAAAUGAAAGAAACCGAAUAUGUGGCUGAAUGAGAUUCUUGCGCAUCUGCAUCAGCAUUCAGGUAUCUUUUUGCUCUGUCCCGUGCGUGCAACCGGAUGGGCUUACCAUUUCUUCAACGCAUUCUCUCAGAAUCUCGUAGCGGGAACGCUCGCUUGGAGUUGGAAUAAAUUGCUUGAGGUCAACCCGGUCCAAGAAAGCUGGAUCGACUGCUUCUAUAUUUGCACGACAGCGCUGACAAAAUGGCGAGGUUCCCCGCAAAGGCAAGAUUAUCCUGACGCGUACCUGGACGAGUUUUCCAGAUUCGCUGAACCAUCGGGAGAAGAGAGAGUGAGCAUUUAUUUCGAGAAGUUGGCUGCUGCGGUAUCGGUAACUCAUCCUGACAGAGAGUUUUUGUGCCAGCGCUCUACAAAGCGAAGUUUUGCCUGUAAGAAACAUGUGCUUCCCACCAGCAAGAAAGAUGCGUUAAGAAACUUGCGCACCUGUGCCGGGAGGGCCAUGGAGUAGCAGAAGUCUGUUCCAGUUAAUUAGCUGCAACGGAGUCCCUCAGACCAGUGCACUGCACACAGCUCGGCGGCGAUUGAUUCACCUUGUCAUUGAUUCUGUGGUCGGAGAAGAGCAUGGCGGAAGAGGCGUACUGGAGCAGGGUUUUUUUCACGUUGGUGUCGAAAUGAAGACUAUCCCACAAGCCAUGAAAAUCCUCAUUCGGCAAUGGCCAGUGCUGACACGCAGGAACUGCUUCCUCCUGUCCGUCUUCUUGCAUUUCUGCUUCUGGCCUCUCUGAAGAGAGGUAGUAUAGGACCACUUGGACUGUGGCGUCUAUGAGUGGUACGAUGAUUGGUGACUCCUCCAUGCACGACCAUUUGGCGCACACAGACGUUUCGGGUAGAGGACCAACCCCUACACAGGUGCCCAUAGGUGAUUCCACAUCUUCCGGAAGAGCGUACUCCACGUUAAUUUCUCUGCAUGCCCGGGACAAUAUGGCAUUUUCGACGAGGCGAGGAUCGUGGCGUCCCAGUGCGAUAGUAAAACCCGACGAUGCCAGCCACGCGUAGCCCUGUUGCCGAAUCUCCUCUGC